GACGAACCGUGCGAACGUUAUUCGGAAUCACUGGGCUUAAAGCGCGUGUAGGCGGCCCGGCACGUCCGUCGCUGAAAGCCCCCGGCUCAACCGGGGAAGGGGCGCGGAUACGACCGGGCUGGAGGGAGGUAGGGGGCGCCGGAACUGCCGGUGGAGCGGUGAAAUGCGUUGAGAUCGGCAGGAACGCCCGUGGCGAAAGCGGGCGCCUGGACCUCGCCUGACGCUGAGACGCGAAAGCCAGGGGAGCGAACGGG
rnacentral:rRNA from 1 species